rnacentral:lncRNA from 1 species
AACACCAACCACUGUAUUGAACACAGACACAACCAACUUCCGAGCCAUGGUUCAACAAUUCACCGGUGGCUCAAUUACUGCACCAUUUGCGUCAACACAGGGAACCUACUUAGGAUUCGGCUCUAGCUCCUCCAAUAAUAUUGUGAACCCUACUACUGUUGCUAAUUCUGGAGCUUAUAAUAUACAGUUUCAACAGCCACAGCAACAAAAUGAAGUACCCUAUAUGUUCAGCUCAUUGGGUCGAACCAGCAAUUCGGGUAAUAGGGUUUCCACGUUGGUUUCUCCUAGUGAGAGUGGAUCUUCUCCAUCUAAUGAGAACAAGUCUGAAAA